rnacentral:rRNA from 1 species
UACGGGGGGGCAAGCGUUGUUCGGAAUUACUGGGCGUAAAGGGCUCGUAGGCGGCCAACUAAGUCAGACGUGAAAUCCCUCGGCUUAACCGGGGAACUGCGUCUGAUACUGGUUGGCUUGAAUCCGGGAGAGGGAUGUGGAAUUCCAGGUGUAGCGGUGAAAUGCGUAGAUAUCUGGAGGAACACCGGUGGCGAAGGCGGCAUCCUGGACCGGUAUUGACGCUGAGGAGCGAAAGCCAGGGAGCAAACGGG